ensembl:lncRNA
CCGGAGACCAGCAGAGCCCGGGUCUGGACGGAUGUGACUGCACGGAGCCGGAAGUGACCCAGCCCCCAAGGACACCAGGAAGUUCGGCUUCUCAGUGGUUGGCCUGGGAAGUCGACAGCAGAGCGAGGCCGACUUUGAGCGUCUGAGGAUUGGCGGUGACACGUGUCAUCCAGUUCCCAGCCCUCUGGUUCCUCUGGUAACUACACCCGGGAGAAGAAAAUCAGAAGAGCUCAAAGCUGGAGCCUGGAGCCGUUGCCCAGGCAACCGUGAGGCUUGGGGCAGUGGAAGGAGAAUGGAGGAUGUGAGCACAAAUGGCAACUGUGAUUGGUCGAUUGCGCUGGAACGCCGACACUUGAUUAGCCGAGGGAAGCUUGAGGGCGGGGCCUCCGGUUGCGAUCCUUUUGUGUGGCUCCUUUGAGGGUAGGCCGGUAGAGAUCCUGACCACGCCCCAGGAGCUCAGAGAGGCUGUCAGGUCUAGCCAGGCCCGGCUGGGCCCUGAGCGCUGGCCACUGAAAAGAGGUGGAAAGCCAACAUGGACCGUUCCCUUUGCCCUCAUCCUCAGCCUGACCGCGCAGGUCAGCAGUAAACCAGUCAGGUCAAAUUUUCCUGUGGCAGAGAGGCUAGGAUAUAAGAUAAAACAAGUUCCCUGAGAGCAACCUGUCUUAAAGUGAGAGCCUCUUCAGUCCAUUAUACUCAACAAGAGAAAUCCCAUUUCUGGAUGAAUGACUGAAGCCAACAGGAAAAGCUGAAGGAAGCAAUCUGCUUCCUUUCUGGUCUGAGAAACAACCAUCUUCUUCAACCAGUCCUGCCAGCAAUCCUAGCCCAGACCCCACUGACAGCUUCCAGACACCACCAAGGCCUGCUUGGGCCCAUCAGUCAGCAGUUUGCAAGUGUCCAGCUGAUUUCAUACCCCAGGCCACUCCCAUGUCCUACUAAGUUCUGUGUCCCUGAAAGUCAUGACUGCCUGUUCUAGUCCUCUUAGACAGCCCUGCCUCAUAAUAUAAUACACUUAUUAGACUGUAAACGAGGAUGCAAGGCAUAAAGGUUUUUUUACAGGAUAAACAAACAGACCAGGAUCUGACACCAAUUUCUAGCUAUCCAGUUUUAUGAAUUUGGAGAAGCGACUGGACUUCUUUCUUGGCCUCAGUUUCCUCAUCUAUAAAACUGAGAAAAUAAAACUCAUUCAUGGC